GUUCAGUGUGUUCGUGUCAGAGCCUUAGCAAAGAUUCAUCAGCCACCUCGUACUCGUGCUCUCAAUCUAAAUCGGGAUCCACAUCGUUGGUCAGCUCAUUGAAAUCGCGUCGUUGAAGCAGUAUCCAAGAAGCUUUCGUCCAUUUUCGUUAAGAAGAAGAAUACAUCAUGGUCGUCAUUGUGGAGUUAGCGUCCUCGUCCAAUGAGUCAGUUGAUAUUGACCAUGAGAUGGAGCAGCAGAAGCAGCAGAGCAGGAGGAGCAGCAGAAGAAGGAGGAGAAGCACGGCAAGAACAUGGAUAAAGGCGAGGGCGAUGCGGUGAAGGAAAUAAGGAGGCAAAAAAUAUGGAGGAGACCAAAAAAGAGGAAGAAAAGGUCGAGAUGAAGGA